UUCGCUACUUUUCAGACAAAAGGAACCGCUUAUCCUCCGCUGGCCGGGAAGCGUGUCCCCGGCUCUGGGAGAAGGGGAGGUUGUGAGCUUGAUGGGAAGACGAUCGAUAUCGUAAAGGGGGAGCUCCAACGCGAGCACGUACUGCGUCUUCAUCCCUGGAUUCAGGCUACGCAGGGCUGUGCCUGCGUCCCCGUGCUGCUGGCAGGCCGAGGAGAGGCUCCAGUGCAAGCCCAAGGACCUGUGCUUCUCCAGCAGAAGGGCGCGAGUUCUGCACCAGGGUGGCCUGCGAGGAUGGAGAUUAAGGAGGAGGGGCAAAAUGCUUUAUGGGCUGGUUGCUGUUCCAAAAAGUGUCAGAAAUCAAUCGUCUGCUGUCUCACUGUGGUCUAGGGACGCUGACCCUGAGGAAAGCAAACCACGAGUCACCUCUCCAUCAACACACGAGGCUGCUGAGCUCUUCGGCUCCGGUUCCCCAUGUGCUGGGAGGAGAAGUGGGCCCGACACCACUGGCGUUACUAGGGCGGUCCUCCACCUUGAGAAGAGCGACAAACGCACGAGCCCAACGUGUGCCCCUCGUCCGCUGCCCACCAGGGACCGGGAUGCAACAUGAAGAGGACCCAAAGAGCAGGAGAAAGAAAUCAUGCCCACGGCUCCGUAUUCAGCCCUGGCUGUCCUUGGAUCCCAAGAGGCGGGAUGAUUGCCAGACUCCCCUUUUAUAUUGGUAAGGGC